rnacentral:rRNA from 1 species
GACGAACGCUGGCGGCGUGCUUAACACAUGCAAGUCGAGCGGUGAAGGGGCCUGCUUUUGUGGGCCCUGGAUGAGUGGCGAACGGGUGAGUAACACGUGAGUAACCUGCCCCCUUCUUCUGGAUAACCGCAUGAAAGUGUGGCUAAUACGGGAUAUUCUGGGUCUGUCGCAUGAUGGGUCUGGGAAAGAUUGCGCCUUUGGGUGUUUUUGGUGGGGGAUGGGCUCGCGGCCUAUCCGCUUGUUGGUGGGGUGAUGGCCUACCAAGGCGGUGACGGGUAGCCGGCCUGGGAGGGUGGACGGUCACACUGGGACUGAGACACGGCCCAGACUCCUACGGGAGGCAGCAGUGGGGAAUAUUGCACAAUGGGCGCAAGCCUGAUGCAGCGACGCCGCGUGAGGGAUGGAGGCCUUCGGGUUGUAAACCUCUUUCGCCAGUGAAGCAGGCCUGCUCCUUGUGGGUGGGUUGACGGUAGCUGGAGAAGAAGCGCCGGCUAACUACGUG